UGCCAGCCGCCGCGGUAAGACGGAGGGUGCAAACGUUGUUCGGAAUUACUGGGCAUAAAGCGCACGUAGGCGGCUUCAUCAGUCUGGUGUGAAAGCCCUCGGCUCAACCGGGGAAUGGCAUCGGAUACUGUGAGGCUUGAGGACGGUUGGGGUGAGUGGAACUCCUGGUGGAGCGGUGAAAUGCGUAGAUAUCAGGAGGAACACCAGUGGCGAAAGCGACUCACUGGGCCGUAUCUGACGCUGAGGUGCGAAAGCUAGGGUAGCGAACGGGAUUAGAUA
rnacentral:rRNA from 1 species